UUGCUUUCUGAAGAUGACAAUAGGAUUCUUGUGUGACUGCAACUUUUAAAAGUAAUUUGCAAGAGCACUUCUGUUAUACAUCUAUUUGGUGAUAAAUCAGACCAUUUUAAAACCGUGGAGCUUAAAGCGAUCUCACUUUUUAGUAUUUCAUAAAGAUAUUCAAUUAAAUAUCAACGCAAUCCAAAGAUUCCAUAUGAAAAAGUAAGGGGCUACUUUGUCUUAUGGUAAAGCCUUGGGUUGACAGAAG